CAGAGAUUUCCCCUUGAAGCACUGUUGCUUUACAGCCACUCUCCUGGCUAUCUUCUGCAGACCAUCCAUCUCCUGUCCAAAUUUGGUUAUUUUCAUUGACUGUGGCAGUGUCAGCAGAGGCAUUUUAUCUCUUUGUUCUGCAUGUGCAAGCAGGAAGGGCUCUUUAAGGGGGACUGUCACUUGUGACUUUGCUUGCUGCAUGUGUACCAUGAUAGGAGCACCUCUGUCCAGGAAAUUUUGAGAACAGCAGAAAAUGGAAGAAUAACUCAUCCAGAAGGAGAGGAUUAUGUAACAGUAGCGAAGGAGACUCAGCAGAGACAGGGAAAAUCCUUUGGAAAGUUGCUGAUUCUGCAGUGGCAUACACCUGCUAAUUGGUUUCAAAUAUUGGGGAGACACACUGCCAAAAAGCGGAAGAAAAGAGAAGAAGAAAAAAACCUUCAUAUUAAUACAGCUCAUUUAAAUUCAUUCAGAAAAAAAGCUAUAUAUUGCAACUGAAUAAAAUCCUCCUCUACUACCCAGGCUCCAUUUAAUGAAUGCUUGCCUUUGCUUCUAUGGACAAGUAUGAAUUCUCCUUGCUGCUGGUAAUGUCAUGGGGAUUGCUGUUUUAUCGAUCGAUGCACCUUGAUUUCCAUGUUUGUCUCCUAAAUGGCUACUGUCACCGAAAAAUCUCAUGUACAGUUCAUCUGGAAUUGCUCAAACAUGCAGAAUUCUAUGUGGUCUAAAAAUGGGGUCACUUCACUGUUCAUAACAGUUCUCCAAACAUUCAUUCACUGUCGAGCUGGAUUCCUGCAGGGGAAAUCUCUAUA
rnacentral:lncRNA from 1 species